AUUUUAUUAACAUUUGCAUAUAUUUUCGAUGAUUACAUUUUACAAGAAACAUAUUGGGGAAUAUGUUUUCUUGUGUAAAGGAUUAAAAAAAAGGGUAAUACCGUUUUUUUUUAAAGACUUUAAAAUGCGACUUCCGCGGACAGUACCAACGAAGAAGAACCCGCAUUGUUUUGUUUUCGACUAAGGAAGCUGCAGCUGCUCUUACCAUCAACCGAUUUAUUCUGCGAGCAGUCUAUACAAAUAAUCAAAAUUUCGCCGAAACGAUUUCCUUUACACUUGUAGAUUUAUUAGCUCUGUCUUAUUAGUUAUAGGGAGCAGUUUCUGAGUUAAACACGCUAGUUAGCUUUAGCUCCAGCUAAUACGCAUAGAUUAGCAUUGUUCGGAUAUUGUCGGAUUUAACUCUAAUAAUCUGCACUCGGUGUGUUUUUAAUACUUUUAUCACGUUCUAUGCGUCUUUUAGCGCCUUAAAUAGCUUUUACAACACUGAAGGUUUUGUUUUAUACAAACACAUUGAAGAGAUCAUCAGGAUGGUGUGUGAGCUGCUGCUUUCCUCAGUCUGGCUGCUGUUUGUGGUUUUCUGGGUGGAGACCAUCAGCGUGUGGCUGUUCCUCUGUCUCUUCUAUCAGGACCGAGCUUUCUAUCACUGGGGUGACGGCGUGUUUGCUGAUGAUCCUGGUCAGAUGCUCUACAUGUUGAGCAGGUCGGAUCGCUCCAUCCACACCCAGACCUGAGCCGGCGGUUUUGUCGUCAGCUGGGAACGCCAAUCAACCGAAGACCCGGGGAGGAAAAAAAUGGCUUCCCGUCCAACUGCUGCCGCCUUUCGCCGAUCCGCGCCGCGUCUAGCGAUGCGGGAUUCGCACGGGGCUCGCGGCCGAGCGCAGAUUCUGUGUUGGUUGUUAUAAAGGGAACUUGUAAUACAUUUUUUACUCUGUCUCCUAAUAGGAGUUUCUCUUCUCAAACAAAAAAAUGAUUUAAACAGCAGCUGGGUGUAGCAAGGCGCUAAAACGCGUAGUGUUUUUUUUUUUUAUUCUUAUUCUGACACGUUUUUCACGACUCGCUGCAGGCUCCGAUGUCAUUCCUGCCAGCGUCCGUCUGAGGCAUAUUUCAGUUUGUCCAAAGGGAUGUGACUGUUUUUUUUUUUUUUUAGGGAGAUGAAGAUAGAAGUUAAACUAAAAUCACAGACGCAACAGGACGCUUUAAAGUUUUACGAUGAUGCUAAAAAAAAAAUCCCUGAGAUUCUUGGAUUUCAAUGGACAAACGCACACUCUCGAUAGUUUGCACUACUGGCUGAUGAUAAUCGCAGUUUUAACAUUUUCAGUUUUCCGAAUUUGACCGACGGUUCUCGCAUUUUCAUUUUUGGAGAGAAAAAGUGUCGUCUCUUUGAUUUUCUUUCUUUCAAGUUGGCAUCAAAAGUCAAUUUGCCCGUCGGCGGUUUCUUUUUAUUUUUAUGCGGAUAUCCGGGAUAAAUCCCUUCAUUCAGUCGUGCGGUGGCGCAAAAACAUUAAAAGCAUAAAAGUCGAUUCGUUUCUUCUUUUUGGAUUUUUUAUUUAAACACCUUUUCUAAAACAUUCGCUCCUUUUUCGAUUUAUUUCUUCUCUAUUUUGGCAAAA